CUGAGUACGGCGGAACACGUGAAAUUCCGUCGGAAUCCGGGAGGACCAUCUCCCAAGGCUAAAUACUCCCUAGUGACCGAUAGUGAACCAGUACCGUGAGGGAAAGGUGAAAAGCACCCCGGAAGGGGAGUGAAACAGUUCCUGAAACCGUGUGCCUACAAGUAGUUAGAGCCCGUUAAUGGGUGAUAGCGUGCCUUUUGUAGAAUGAACCGGCGAGUUACGAUUUGUUGCAAGGUUAAGCGGAAAAAGCGGAGCCGUAGCGAAAGCGAGUCUGAAUAGGGCGCAUAAGUAACAGGUCGUAGACCCGAAACCAGGUGAUCUACCCAUGUCCAGGAUGAAGGUAAGGUAAUACUUACUGGAGGUCCGAACCCACGCACGUUGAAAAGUGCGGGGAUGAGGUGUGGGUAGCGGAGAAAUUCCAAUCGAACUUGGAGAUAGCUGGUUCUCUCCGAAAUAGCUUUAGGGCUAGCCUCGAGGUAAAGAGUCAUGGAGGUAGAGCACUGUUUGGACUAGGGGCCCUUCUCGGGUUACCGAAUUCAGAUAAACUCCGAAUGCCAUGUACUUAUACUCGGGAGUCAGACUGCGAGUGAUAAGAUCCGUAGUCGAAAGGGAAACAGCCCAGACCACCAGUUAAGGUCCCCAAAUAUAUGUUAAGUGGAAAAGGAUGUGGGGUUGCUUAGACAACCAGGAUGUUGGCUUAGAAGCAGCCACCAUUGAAAGAGUGCGUAAUAGCUCACUGGUCGAGUGACCCCGCGCCGAAAAUGUACCGGGGCUAAACAUAUUACCGAAACUGUGGAUGAACCUCUUUAGAGGUUCGUGGUAGGAGAGCGUUCUAAGGGCGGUGAAGUCAGACCGGAAGGACUGGUGGAGCGCUUAGAAGUGAGAAUGCCGGUAUGAGUAGCGAAAGAAGGGUGAGAAUCCCUUCCACCG
rnacentral:rRNA from 1 species